UUCGCAAUGCCCGAAAGGGUGACGAAGCGACGCCGCGUGGGUGAGGAAGGCCUUCGGGUUGUAAAGCCCUGUCAGGAGUUAAGAAAUGUAAGUGCGCUAAUAUCGCAUUUACUUGACGAAGGCUCCAAAGGAAGUCACGGCUAACUCUGUGCCAGCAGCCGCGGUAAUACAGAGGUGGCAAGCGUUGUUCGGAAUUAUUGGGCGUAAAGAGCACGUAGGUGGGUUUGUAAGUCAGAUGUGAAAGCCUCCUGUUCAACGGGAGAAUUGCAUCUGAAACUACUGAUCUUGAGUAUAGGAGGGGAGAAUGGAACUUCUGGUGGAGCGGUGAAAUGCGUAGAUAUCAGAAGGAACGCCGGCGGCGAAAGCGAUUCUCUGGCCUAUUACUGACACUCAGUGUGCGAAAGCUAGGGGAGCAAACGGGAUUAGAUACCCCGGUAGUCCUAGCCGUAAACGAUGGGCACUAAGUAGAGGGGUUUU
rnacentral:rRNA from 1 species